rnacentral:rRNA from 1 species
AUUGAACGCUGGCGGCAGGCCUAACACAUGCAAGUCGAACGGUAACAGGAAGCAGCUUGCUGCUUUGCUGACGAGUGGCGGACGGGUGAGUAAUGUCUGGGAAACUGCCCGAUGGAGGGGGAUAACUACUGGAAACGGUAGCUAAUACCGCAUAACGUCGCAAGACCAAAGAGGGGGACCUUAUGGCCUCUUGCCAUCGGAUGUGCCCAGAUGGGAUUAGCUAGUAGGGGGGGUAACGGCUCACCUAGGCGAGGAGCCCUAGAUGGUGUGAGAGAGUGACCAGCCACAUGGGAAGGGAGACAGGGACAAGAGUCCUGCGGGAGGGAGCAGUGGGGAAUAUGGGACAGAGGGGGCGAGUAUGAUCCAGCCGGAGGGGGUGUGAGAAGAAGGCGUCGGGGUUGUAAAGACUGUCUGUGGGGAAAGAAGAGCAUCAGGUUAAUACCAAGCUUGAGUGACGGUACCGGGAAAAGAAGCACCGGCUAACUCCGUG